rnacentral:misc_RNA from 1 species
GAAUCCGAGAAUUUCACCUCCAACGGCAGAGUACGAAUGCCCCCGUCUGUCCCUCUUAAUCAUUAACUCGGGUUCCGAAAACCAAUAAAAUAGAACCGAAUUCAUAUUUUAUUAUUCCAUGCACGAAUAUUCAGACACAAUCAGGUCUGCUUUGAACACUCUAAUUUUUUCAAGGUAAAAUUUCUGGUCGGGUACUGCACUCAGUUAAGAGCACAAGCACGCUAACCAAAGAGAAGAGUGUACCGAACAGUGCAACAUUUCUGAUGACCGCUCGUUUACACUCCAAGAUCCAACUACGAGCUUUUUAACCGCAACAACUUUAGUAUACGCUAUUGGAGCUGGAAUUACCGC